GUGGGGAAUUUUGCGCAAUGGGGGAAACCCUGACGCAGCAACGCCGCGUGAGUGAUGAAGGCCUUCGGGUCGUAAAGCUCUGUCAGAGGGAAAGAAAUGCGGGAGGGUUAAUACCCCUUUUGCUUGACGGUACCCUCAAAGGAAGCACCGGCUAACUCCGUGCCAGCAGCCGCGGUAAUACGGAGGGUGCGAGCGUUGUUCGGAAUUAUUGGGCGUAAAGCGCGUGUAGGCGGUCUUUUAAGUCUGAUGUGAAAGCCCCGGGCUCAACCUGGGAAGUGCAUUGGAAACUGGGAGACUUGAAUACGGGAGAGGGUAGUGGAAUUCCUAGUGUAGGAGUGAAAUCCGUAGAUAUUAGGAGGAACACCGGUGGCGAAGGCGGCUACCUGGACCGAUAUUGACGCUGAGACGCGAAAGCGUGGGGAGCAAACAGGAUUAGAUACCCUUGUAGUCC
rnacentral:rRNA from 1 species